CUGAACUGCUGACUCAGGCCUACCAUCUAUCUAGCUCAGCAUUCUUCAGAUAAAUGAUGGGGCAGAGAUCUCACAGGCAAACUGACAAGUGGGAAGGACGUUAUGUUGGGCUCCACCAUUAGUGUCUGAUCAUCUGGAAUACAACACUUCUACAAAGGAAGCUUGCAGAUACCAUGAAAACAGCCUGCCAGACUUAUGGGACCCUGUUUCCUUGUGGGGAAAGAUCAACACAACUAAAAUCUCAGCUGGGUGAAUGACCAACAGGGAACAUCACACAGUGCUGCUGCCUACGUCACAUAGUGACUCUUCAUAUAUGGGAGGCCACCAAAGAAUACUAGGGCUGCACACUAGAUUGGGAAGCUGAAAACACAUUCUGCAAGAAGUCAAACCACUUCUGCCUUUUUGCCAUGAAAACUACAUGGAUGUGCCCAUGACAUCACCAAGGUUCAUGAAGGUUUUACCUUUUACAUACAAGAUGGAAAUAUUGGUAAUUUCUCUGCUGUUGAGUUAAUGUGCCAUCAAUCCCGCAUUGUCUCAGCACAAAAAUGCUAUAAUAAAAUUGCUAGUUGUAUAAUAAAAUUG